ACCACAUACACUUACAAAUUCACUGUUUGCCGCGCACAUAUACACGUAUAUGUACGCGUAUAUAUACACACGAUUGUGGAAGACACCUGUGUGUAGAAGGAAAAAAAAAACGAUAAUGAUCGGCCGCGGUCGAAGGAUGAGAAAUCGAUGCCGCGAAGGACGGCGCCUUACCCCCCGUGACGAUCGGUUGACGAUCGAGAUUACGACAGUUAUUGCAGCUGUAAAUGAAAAGGAAGGAAAGGGAAAGGGUUCGCGCGGGCAUCUCUAUUGCUUUUAAUUAAUUUGGCUCGCGUAUAUAAUCGAUAGAACCGAAACCCGCGUUAUCUCGAUCUAUUGGUUUCCACGCGCUCCCUCGCGAUUAGCGAGUCGUCAACGCCGAUGAUCUGUAAUCGAUCGGCGCUCUCGGUCAUUUUUUUUUUUUCCUCUACCUUUCCGAAGACGUGGGCGAAAGGAGAUCGUUGCGAAAAGCCCUCGCGCGGGACGUGGGAAUCGCGGCGAAUCGUACCGCGCCCCGCAGUCUUUCCUCGCUGGCUCGUGCCGAUUUAGCGGCGCGAUUUAACGGUGCCGGCUCGUUAGCCGGCUCACGGCUCGUGCGCAACAACGGCGCGAACAGCAACGAGCCGCGGGAAGAAGAAGUAACGGCCUUUGAAUUGCGCGGCAGUGCUAGGCACCGGAGGAGCCCAAUGCAGUGAAAGCGCAAUGCGGCGCGUGAACCUCUAGGCAGCUACAAAAGAAAAAGUCAAAAGUCAUCGGCACCCGGGAGAGAGGGAGAGAUUUCUGUAUCGUCCAAGAAAUCACAGAGACUUCGCAAGAAGAAAGACGAGCGUUCGACUGUUUCAAUGGCGAGUAACCCACUGGUCCAGCAGCCAAUCGACGCGUCGAUAGAAAUUGAACACUGAUCAUAAAACGCCGCUCGGACAACGUGAUCGCAUCAACGGGGAAUGAGUGUCAUUGCGAAACGUCACGGGUAUAAUAGCCGAGAUAAUUGGUCGAGCCGGAGUACGGUGCCUUAAACGAUGCCUGAUGAACGAGACACGUCGUCGGUGAAAUGAUAGAAUGUCAACAGACGUCUCGUCGUCGCCGAGAGAUUCACCGUGAAUCAACAACACACUCACGUGAAACACCUUGCCCGCGAUAACGAUCGUCG